UACGUAGGGUGCAAGCGUUGUCCGGAAUUACUGGGCGUAAAGAGUGUGUAGGCGGUGCUCUAAGUUCGGUGUGAAAUCUCCUGGCUUAACUGGGAGGGUGCGCCGGAAACUGGAGUGCUUGAGCGUGGGAGAGGAAAGCGGAAUUCCUGGUGUAGCGGUGAAAUGCGUAGAUAUCAGGAGGAACACCUGUGGUGUAGACGGCUUUCUGGACCAUUGCUGACGCUGAGACACGAAAGCGUGGGUAGCAAACAGG
rnacentral:rRNA from 1 species